rnacentral:rRNA from 1 species
AAUCAACGCUGGCGGCGUGCCUCAGACAUGCAAGUCGAACGAUUAAAGCUCUCUUCGGAGAGUGUAUAGAGUGGCGCACGGGUGAGUAACACGUAAGUAAUCUACCCUCGAGUGGGGAAUAACAACCGGAAACGGUUGCUAAUACCGCAUAAUGCAGCGGCACCGCAAGGUGACAGUUGUUAAAGAUUUAUCGCUUGAGGAGGAGCUUGCGGCAGAUUAGCUAGUUGGUAGGGUAACGGCUUACCAAGGCUACGAUCUGUAACCGGUCUAAGAGGACGGUCGGUCACACUGACACUGAAUAACGGGUCAGACUCCUACGGGAGGCAGCGGUCGGGAAUUUUGGGCAAUGGGCGAAAGCCCGACCCAGCAACGCCGCGUGAAGGAUGAAGUAUUUCGGUAUGUAAACUUCGAAAGAAUAGGAAGAAUUAAUGACGGUACUAUUUAUAAGGUCCGGCUAACUACGUG